rnacentral:rRNA from 1 species
CUGGCGGCAGGCUUAAUACAUGCAAGUUGAACGGUAACAUGUUGUAGCAAUACGAUGAUGACGAGUGGCGCACGGGUGCGUAACACGUGUGUAACCUACCUUAUACAGGAACAUAACGUUGAGAAAUCGGCGCUAACAUUCCAUAAUAUUAUUUGUAGGCAUCUAUGAAUAAUUUAAAACUCCGGUGGUAUAAGAUGGGCACGCGUUCCAUUAGCUAGUUGGUAAGGUAACGGCUUACCAAGGCAACGAUGGAUAGGGGUUCUGAGAGGAUAAUCCCCCACACUGGAACUGAGACACGGUCCAGACUCCUACGGGAGGCAGCAGUAAGGAAUAUUGGGCAAUGGAGGCAACUCUGACCCAGCCAUGCCGCCGUGCAGGAAGACGGCCCUAUGGGUUGUAAACUGCUUUUAAUAGGGAUUAAAGUCGACUACGUGUAGUUGUUUGCAAGUACCUAUAGAAUAAGCAUCGGCUAACUCCGUGCCAGCAGCCGC